rnacentral:rRNA from 1 species
GAUGAACGCUGGCGGCGUGCUUAACACAUGCAAGUCGAACGAAGCACUUUGAUCGAUUUCUUCGGAUUGAAAUUUUAGUGACUGAGUGGCGGACGGGUGAGUAACGCGUGGGUAACCUGCCUCACACAGGGGGAUAACAGUUGGAAACGGCUGCUAAUACCGCAUAAGCGCACAGUACCGCAUGGUACAGUGUGAAAAACUCCGGUGGUGUGAGAUGGACCCGCGUCUGAUUAGCUAGUUGGCAGGGCAGCGGCCUACCAAGGCGACGAUCAGUAGCCGACCUGAGAGGGUGACCGGCCACAUUGGGACUGAGACACGGCCCAAACUCCUACGGGAGGCAGCAGUGGGGAAUAUUGCACAAUGGGGGAAACCCUGAUGCAGCGACGCCGCGUGAGCGAAGAAGUAUUUCGGUAUGUAAAGCUCUAUCAGCAGGGAAGAAGAAAUGACGGUACCUGACUAAGAAGCACCGGCUAAAUACGUGCCAGCAGCCGCGGUAAUACGUAUGGUGCAAGCGUUAUCCGGAUUUACUGGGUGUAAAGGGAGCGCAGGCGGAAGGCUAAGUCUGAUGUGAAAGCCCGGGGCUCAACCCCGGUACUGCAUUGGAAACUGGUCAUCUAGAGUGUCGGAGGGGUAAGUGGAAUUCCUAGUGUAGCGGUGAAAUGCGUAGAUAUUAGGAGGACACCAGUGGCGAAGGCGGCUUACUGG